UACGAAGGGGGCUAGCGUUGCUCGGAAUCACUGGGCGUAAAGCGCACGUAGGCGGAUCUUUAAGUCAGGGGUGAAAUCCUGGAGCUCAACUCCAGAACUGCCUUUGAUACUGGGGAUCUCGAGUCCGGAAGAGGUGAGUGGAACUCCGAGUGUAGAGGUGAAAUUCGUAGAUAUUCGGAAGAACACCAGUGGCGAAGGCGGGUUGCUGGGCUGAUACUGACGCUGAGGCGCGAAAGCCAGGGGAGCGAACGGG
rnacentral:rRNA from 1 species